rnacentral:rRNA from 1 species
AUUGAACGCUGGCGGCAGGCUUAACACAUGCAAGUCGAGCGGAGAGAGGUAGCUUGCUACUGAUCUUAGCGGCGGACGGGUGAGUAAUGCUUAGGAAUCUGCCUAUUAGUGGGGGACAACAUUUCGAAAGGAAUGCUAAUACCGCAUACGUCCUACGGGAGAAAGCAGGGGAUCUUCGGACCUUGCGCUAAUAGAUGAGCCUAAGUCGGAUUAGCUAGUUGGUGGGGUAAAGGCCUACCAAGGCGACGAUCUGUAGCGGGUCCGAGAGGAUGAUCCGCCACACUGGGACUGAGACACGGCCCAGACUCCUACGGGAGGCAGCAGUGGGGAAUGUUGGACAAUGGGCGGAAGCCUGAUCCAGCCAUGCCGCGUGUGUGAAGAAGGCCUUAUGGUUGUAAAGCACUUUAAGCGAGGAGGAGGCUACUUUAGUUAAUACCUAGAGAUAGUGGACGUUACUCGCAGAAUAAGCACCGGCUAACUCUGUGCCAGCAGCCGCGGUAA